rnacentral:rRNA from 1 species
UACGGAGGGGGCUAGCGUUGUUCGGAAUCAUUGGGCGUAAAGGGCGCGUAGGCGGCCGAUCAAGUCGGAGGUGAAAUCCCUCGGCUCAACUGAGGAAUUGCCUUCGAUACUGUUCGGCUUGAGUCCUGGAGAGGGUAGCGGAAUUCCCGGUGUAGCGGUGAAAUGCGUAGAGACCGGGAAGAACACCAGUGGCGAAGGCGGCUACCUGGACAGGUACGUGACGCUGAAGCGCGAAAGCUAGGGGAGCAAACAGG